UACGGGGGGAGCAAGCGUUGUUCGGAGUUACUGGGCGUAAAGAGUGCGUAGGCGGUUUUCUAAGUUUGGUGUGAAAUCUCCCGGCUUAACUGGGAGGGUGCGCCGAAGACUGGAAGGCUUGAGUAUGGGAGAGGUAAGCGGAAUUCCUGGUGUAGCGGUGAAAUGCGUAGAUAUCAGGAGGAACACCUGCGGUGUAGACGGCUUACUGGACCAUCACUGACGCUGAGGCACGAAAGCGUGGGUAGCAAACAGG
rnacentral:rRNA from 1 species